ensembl:lncRNA
GAUAGACCUGCUGCAUCUGGGGCACGAGGAUGGGAUCUUGGAUGGAGGGGAGAUAGAAAUGGGACUUGUUGGCACACAGCAGAGCUGAGAACACAGUUUACGUGCCUCACUGCUGCUCCUUUCUCCAUCCCUGGGCCACCAUGUCCCCUGGCCACCAGCACUGUUCAGUCAGUGUGUAUGCUGAGGAACCACGGAGCCCUGUAAAGGCCCUCGUUUAGGUGGUUCAGACUAACAGAAACACAAAUCAGUGUUGGGGGAAAGCUAUUCUGGUGUUUACUGAUUUCAGCCCUAUUCUGAUGUCUGAGCCAGGAAACAAACUCCACAUCCUGAGAUCAAUGCCAGGGAGGGUUUUUAAAUUUUGGACCUGUUUCAAGAGCGUUAUCGUGUCCCGUCUGCCCACGAUUGACAGGGUUUGGCUCUUUGUCUGCCUUGUGUUUCCUGGAUUCAUACAGACGAUGCUCCUGCCAGUCAGUAGAGCUUGGAUAAGGUUAAAAAGAGCAAGAGGAAAUCAGGAGAAGACAAGAAGCCUGUCCCCCUGCAGCACUAAGGGCUUCUUCCUUUCCCUGGGAGCUGCAGUGUUUUUGGUGAAUUCAGCAG